UCACUAGCAUAGGAGGGAUAUUUUCCUUCAUUUGCCGAGUCGCUCAUUCUAAUUUUGAAUCUCCUGAAAUAGAAGUAUAGGAAAAUGCACAAUGCCAUUACCACGGCGAAUGCCACACAACCGAUAACAAUACCCACAAUAGCACCUGCAUUCAAGGACGUAUGGUUUGACGCCUUGCUUGCAUUUAGAGCGAGGGCAGCCGUACUGCUUGGAACUUCACUACUGGUUGAAGAAGAGGAACUGCUUGGUGUUACUGUGACAGUAGAAAUAAAAGUAGAUGAGGACAUGGUCGUGAUAAACGACGAAGACGAAGAUGGCCGACUAGAAGAUGAAGAGGAAGAUGAGCUUGAAGAUGAAGAAGAAUGAGAAGAACUGGUGGAAGACGUUAUUGGUACGGAAGAGGAAGAACUAGAAGACGAAGAGCUGGAAGAAGACGAAGAAGACGAAGACGAAGAGGAAGAGGAAGAGGAAGAGGAAGAUGAGGAAGAAGAAGAAGAAGAAGACGAAGAAGAAGAGGAAGACGACGAAGACGAAGAAGAAGAAGAAGAAGAAGGAGAUGUUGUUGUUGUAGUUGAAGAUGAGCUUGGAGAUGAUGAUGAAGACGAAGAGGUCGUAGACGACACUGACGAGCUAGAAACCGUGGUUUGCAAAACCCCAUUGCCAGUCAGAUAAACCGACCAGUACAGAUCACCACCACACAUAAGAGAACCAUAACCUGGACAAGGCGUUGUGCAAAGAGAACUUGAAACUUCUGUAGCAGUAAGUGUACUACCGCAAUAACAUUGAUU